rnacentral:rRNA from 1 species
UGGGCGCCGACCGGCGCACGGGUGAGUAACGCGUAUCCAACCUGCCCAUCACUUGGGGAUAACCUUGCGAAAGUAAGACUAAUACCCAAUGACGUCUCUAGAAGACAUCUGAAAGAGAUUAAAGAUUUAUCGGUGAUGGAUGGGGAUGCGUCUGAUUAGCUUGUUGGCGGGGUAACGGCCCACCAAGGCGACGAUCAGUAGGGGUUCUGAGAGGAAGGUCCCCCACAUUGGAACUGAGACACGGUCCAAACUCCUACGGGAGGCAGCAGUGAGGAAUAUUGGUCAAUGGGCGAGAGCCUGAACCAGCCAAGUAGCGUGCAGGAUGACGGCCCUAUGGGUUGUAAACUGCUUUUAUAAGGGAAUAAAGUGAGUCUCGUGAGGCUUUUUGCAUGUACCUUAUGAAUAAGGACCGGCUAAUUCCGUGCCAGCAGCCGCGGUAAUACGGAAGGUCCGGGCGUUAUCCGGAUUUAUUGGGUUUAAAGGGAGCGUAGGCCGGAGAUUAAGCGUGUUGUGAAAUGUAGACGCUCAACGUCUGCACUGCAGCGCGAACUGGUUUCCUUGAGUACGCACAAAGUGGGCGGAAUUCGUGGUGUAGCGGUGAAAUGCUUAGAUAUCACGAAGAACUCCGAUUGCGAAGG